rnacentral:rRNA from 1 species
AUUGAACGCUGGCGGCAGGCCUAACACAUGCAAGUCGAGCGAGCGGCGGACGGGUGAGUAAUGUCUGGGAAUGGGCCUGAUGGAGAGGGAUAACUACUGGAAACUGUAGCCAAUAACGCAUACCAUCAGAUGGGCCCAGAUGGGAUUAGCUAGUGGGUGGGGUAAUGGCUCACCUAGGCGACGAUCCCUAGCUGGUCUGAGAGGAUGACCAGCCACACUGGAACUGAGACACGGUCCAGACUCCUACGGGAGGCAGCAGUGGGGAAUAUUGGACAAUGGGCGAAAGCCUGAUGCAGCCAUGCCGCGUGUGUGAAGAAGGCCUUCGGGUUGUAAAGCACUUUCAGCUAGGAGGCGUUACCCGCAGAAGAAGCACCGGCUAACUCCGUGCCAGCAGCCGCGGUAAUUC